AAAAGCCAUGACUUAAAACCCACUGUAUGUUCUCUGCUUCUGGUGAGCCAGUUUCCAAGCCUCGUGCCCAGUUCUGUGUGGUCCUGACCAGCACUGGUGUGGUGUACCCACCAGAGAAGACUGCCUGAACAUGGGUUUAUGCCAGCAGAAAGUCUUUAUCAUUCAACCAGCGACUACGCUGGGUGUUCAAGAUCCAGGUCCUACAAGAGAAACCAUGCUCAGAAGGUGAGAUUACUACCCAAGCACUCCAAGCACUCCAAGCACUCCGCGUGUAAUCACAGAGAUGGCACCGAAGUCAGA
rnacentral:lncRNA from 1 species